rnacentral:rRNA from 1 species
GACCAAUUAAGCCAUACAGAUUACUUAUGUUUCCAACUUAAUUAAAAAUAAACCUACCACAAGUCUCAAAAAAAGAGAA